rnacentral:rRNA from 1 species
GCAGAACAGCUGGCGGCGUGCUUAACACAUGCAAGUCGACGGUAAGGCCCUUUCGGGGGUACACGAGCGGCGAACGGGUGAGUAACACGUGAGUAAUCUGCCCUUCACUUCGGGAUAACCAUCGGAAACGGUGGCUAAUACCGGAUACGACGCGCUUUCGCAUGAGAUGUGCGUGGAAAGUUUUUUCGGUGGAGGAUGUGCUCGCGGCCUAUCAGCUUGUUGGUGAGGUAAUGGCUCACCAAGGCUUCGACGGGUAGCCGGCCUGAGAGGGUGACCGGCCACACUGGGACUGAGACACGGCCCAGACUCCUACGGGAGGCACCACUGGGGAA